rnacentral:rRNA from 1 species
UACGUAGGGUGCGAGCGUUGUCCGGAAUUACUGGGCGUAAAGGGCGCGUAGGCGGCCUGUUAAGUCGGACGUGAAAUCCCCGGGCUCAACCCGGGAACUGCGUCCGAUACUGGCAGGCUUGAAUCCGGGAGAGGGAUGUGGAAUUCCAGGUGUAGCGGUGAAAUGCGUAGAUAUCUGGAGGAACACCGGUGGCGAAGGCGGCAUCCUGGACCAACACUGACGCUGAGGCGCGAAAGCUAGGGGAGCAAACGGG